rnacentral:rRNA from 1 species
AUUGAACGCUGGCGGCAGGCCUAACACAUGCAAGUCGAACGAGUGGCGGACGGGUGAGUAAUGUCUGGGAAACUGCCUGAUGGAGGGGGCUAACUACUGGAAACGGUAGCUAAUACCGCAUACCAUCAGAUGUGCCCAGAUGGGUUUAGCUAGUUGGGGGGGAAACGGCUCACCAAGGCGACGAUCCCUAGCUGGUCUGCGGGGAUGACCAGCACAACGGGAACUGGGACACGGCCCAGACCCCAAGGGAAGGCAGCAGUGGGGAAUAUUGUACAAUGGGGGCAAGCCUGAUGCAGCCAUGCCGCGUGUAGGAAGAAGGCCUUCGGGUUGUAAAGUACUUUCAGCGGGGAGGCGUUACCCGCAGAAGAAGCACCGGCUAACUCCGGGCCAGCAGCCGCGGUAAUU